UUAGUAUGACAUUUCAUUAUUUACAAUAAUUUUAUCAUAUUUCUAUCAGUACCAAGUUGUAAAAGGGAGCUUUGUUGGUGGCUUUUGAUGGUACUUCAAUGAUGCUUUUCAUUGUUGUUAUGGAGUCUUAAUGACGUAUGGAAAGUGGGCAGUUAAACUAGGCACUUCAUUUCAUGGUUCAUUUUGGAGAAGAGGCUAUGUGUUGAAUUGUUGAUGAUGCAGCCAUAACUCUUCAUCCAUGUUAGGAUCCAUAUCACCUCGUAGACAAGUAUGUUAUUUAUUGUUUCAUACAUUUUUACGUGUUUGACAUUGAUAUAUCUUUUAUUUCUUGUAUACAUGUGAAAGUUCUUAGUCUAAAUUUAUGAGGAAGCUGCAACAGAAUCACAAACUAGACUUCAAAAGGAAGAGUAUGUUCGAGUCUAUAAUUACUUUUUUUUUACCUUAUUUUAACAUGUGAUUGGUUUGACUUUUUGUUCAAUUAUCUCUCGAAUUGGACGAUGAGAGUUUGUUAGACCAAUUCAUGUGAAAUGUGUCUUUUGAAAAAUGGGUUGUGCUCUUGCACCUUAAGUCCAACGAUUUCUUUAUUUUUGAUAUCCAAAUAUUCUUAAGAAAGUAGGUUGAUGUAAACAUCCAUUUCAGUUUAUGAUCUCUAGAAGAUGUUUCAUGUAACCCUCACAUUUUACACUCUACUGUGUUCAAAUUUCCAUGACUUUUAUGAAAUUGAUAUGUUGAAGGAAGAGUUUGGUAAGUUUCUACUUAGAUAAUACAUGUACGGAUGGAGAAAGGUUUCUGUGCAACCCUAGAAAUUUGACAAAAUAAUUCUCACCUGUAGGUGAAAUUUUAAUUUAAGUUGCAAUAACAUUGUAGAAAUUUUAUUUUCUCUAUGUUUUCCUUAUUUUAUUCUUUAGGAUAUAUUUCUGAUUGAAUAAUGGAAGCAUCUAUAUCUAGGGACUAUGGAUGUUGGAGCUAUUAGCACUUUAAAAGAGGCAAUAUGGAAAUUGGAUAUGGAGAGACUUCUAUCUAUAAGAGACUAUUAUAGAUUUUGUACUGUUAAUACAAUAAUCUCCAUCUGGGGAUCUUAUGAAGUAUUGGAAAUACAGUGAGCGGCAUAUAUUUCUUAAAAGCUUCCCUAAUUUGAAGAAGCUUGAUUCCAUCACUACAAGAAAAUUUCAAUUUAACUACGGAAAAAUUCCGUAGCAAAUGAUGUAAUUCCGUAGCUAAACAUAAAUAAUUACGGAAGUUGCUACGUAAUUUGUCAAUGAGAUUCCAUAGUAAAAUUUCUUGUAGCAAAAUGUUUAACUACGAAAUUAUAGUUCUGUAGCAAUUUUGCUAUGGCUAUUGCUACGAUGUCUAUCCGUAUCAUUUCAACUACAACACACUUCCAUAACAAUUCCGUAACAAUGAAUUUUGUAGCAAAUUCCGUAUCUAUUUUGUUCCGUAGCAAAUUCCGUAGCCAUUUGGUCCAUAG
rnacentral:lncRNA from 1 species